rnacentral:misc_RNA from 1 species
GCCCAUCCCGCCCUCCUUCUCCUGAUCAGGUAGUCGUCAACACGGCAUCCCAGGGCAUGAGACUACCUGGAGCGCGCGAGGGAACCCUCUGACCUCUGACCCUUGUCCGUCGAGACAACCCUCGCUCCCGCCUCGCCCUCGCCCUCCUGCGCCCGCUCGACCCCCUUCAGCUGAACCGACGCAGUAACACUCUCUCGACCGGGACCAGCGAGUCCCACCGACGAAGGGAAGGGGGGUGGGAGACUCGCUCGCGCGCCGCGCAUGCAUCCAGCUCGGGACGAAGCCGCUUCUUUCGGCUCGAGGUGCGCCUGACUGGCCUUUUCUGCUCGCUGCGACGGCGGCAACAUAGGGACUGGGUCGUCCAGCGGUGUGGGAGACGAGGCGAUUGCAUGCGUGCUCGAGGCGGUGCGGGGAGGGCGAGGAGGACGGCUCGCUCGCUGGGAGGUUCGCCGGACAGCUGUGGUGGUCUUGUGUGGUCUACACGGGCUCAUUGCACGC